GACGAACGCUGGCGGCGUGCUUAACACAUGCAAGUCGAACGAUGAAGCCUAGCUUGCUAGGUGGAUUAGUGGCGAACGGGUGAGUAAUACGUGAGUAACCUACCUUUAACUCUGGGAUAAGCCUGGGAAACUGGGUCUAAUACCGGAUACGACCAAUCUCCGCAUGGGGUGUUGGUGGAAAGCGUUAUGUAGUGGUUAUAGAUGGGCUCACGGCCUAUCAGCUUGUUGGUGAGGUAACGGCUCACCAAGGCGACGACGGGUAGCCGGCCUGAGAGGGUGACCGGCCACACUGGGACUGAGACACGGCCCAGACUUCUACGGGAGGCAGCAGUGGGGAAUAUUGCACAAUGGGCGCAAGCCUGAUGCAGCGACGCCGCGUGAGGGAUGACGGCCUUCGGGUUGUAAACCUCUGUUAGCAGGGAAGAAGAGAAAUUGACGGUACCUGCAGAGAAAGCGCCGGCUAACUACGUG
rnacentral:rRNA from 1 species